UCGUAAAAACGAAGACGACACGACAAGCAUUGAUCAUAAUUUACAAAACAUAAUAUAUAAAUGCAAUUGGAAUAAUGAAUCAUAUCUAAAACGAGAGAAGUUAGAAAGACUAUAUAAUUCUCAGUACGCUAGUACCGAUCACACGUCUCAUUGUUUGUCUGAAGCUAGAGGAGGAGAUUAGUUCAGUAAUCAGCGUUUUCAGCUAGAAGAGGAUAUUAGUUUAGUGAUCAGCGUUUUCAGCCAGAGGAGGAAAUUAGUUCAGUAAUCAGCGUUUUCAGUUAGAGGAGGAGAUUAGUUUAGUAAUCAGCUUAUUCAGCUAGAGGAGGAGAUUAGUUCAGUAAUCAGCGUUGUACAUGUAACUGGCACAGGCAAUCUUAAAUUCAAGAUUCAAUUGUAUGUGUACGACUACAGCCACCUAAAUCUGUUACAAAACGAUCGCCUACAUUCUUCACUUUUAUUACUAAUUCUACAUUAAAGAACUGUUCUAGCUUACUAAAAUGGUAAAUUUCAACCAUCACAUAAUGUACGACAAUCAAUAAUUAGAAACAAUGUAUAGGACACAUGUUUAACACUUACGAGGUCAUCUCUAAAACAAAACAAUCAUUACAGUAUAUAUACUGAAACAUAGGAUUUUUAAAAAGAAAGAAAAUAACGAAACAAAGCACGUGUGAAAUGUGAGUGAAUUUCUUGAAGUUAUUUAACACUGUGUACUUCUCUGAAAAGCAAAUAGUUGAUAUCAGAGUCCAUAGGUGAAAUCCUAGAAGAAUAAAGUUAAUGAAGAUUGUGAGGAGUUGCGAGAGUUGUGUUUGCCGUUUUUCACGCCUUACGGAAAUUUUUCACGCAAGAUUAACAAGAAAUCGUGUUUAACCUUAACAAAUACUUAAACCUAUCACAAUGCUGUAGUCUUCGACACGGAUUUUUUUUAUUGAGUCUCAGAAAAACAGCAGUAGAACAAUUAUCACACUUUUUGCAACAAUAUUCCAAGAAGUGUCUGAUAAAUGUAAACAAUUGAGAUAUUGGUUUUAUAUGUAUACAGUAGAUAUAUUAAGAUUUAGCUUUCUAUGAUAUGCAACUUUUUUUAAAAAGUUUUUUGAACUAUCUAAAGUGUCAACAUGCUUUGUCUGUUUUUUUGUCAAAGACUCAAACUUUGACCCAAAGAUUUAGGUAGGGCUAUAUGUGGAAUCCUUAGCCAAUAAUGAGUUUCUAAAGGAUAUUUACUGCAGUUAUACAAGAUCCAACGACACUCACAAUUCAAAUAUAAACAGCUGUAUAUAGUGUACGCUUCGAAUUGGUAAUAGAAUUGUGUGAUUUCAUUUAAUAUUGCUUUAAGGCCUUCCGCAAAAAGUUCAAUUUAUAAUGUGUAACUUGUUAGAGUCCAACAUGUCCAACAUAAAUUAAUACUCAAUGUUUGAUUGCAGUUAGUUUUGCAUAAAGCUUUCAUCGAACUGUU